UCAUUGGAAUUGCAACAGCAUGUGAGAAUAAACUACAAAAUCAGUCAACACAAAUGAUUUGAUGGAUAUUGAGACCGUGCUGAGGAUGUUGAAAUCUUUGAGAAUCUAGAAGAAUGGUUGGAAAUCAACUGAAAGUCUGCAACCACAAGUAGGCACGUGAACCUGUUGUGGCCAAAAUGCAUCAAAAUAGUAAUUUUAAACAAAGACAUAAGUCUUAUGGGAUUGCUCAGCUGAAUGCCCUUAUAAACAUGCUGUUAGGGGAACUCACCCCUGGUGAUCAUCAGAACAUCAUGACAAUGUGCACAAUUGAUGUACAUACAAGGGAUGUUGUAGCCAUGCUUAUAGCACAGAAGUGUAACAAGAAAUAUGAAGCCAAUGACAGCAGUGUUCAGGAAACGCAAUUGGUAUCCUUUGAUAAAAUCAGACUGUAGAAAUGCACUUUACUCCAUAAACCUGUCUUUUGAGAUGGAAGAGUGCCAUUCCACAGUCAUGAAACGUUCUACACUUCCAAGUUACACUGUGUUCUAAAAUUUGGUCAAAA